GGAUUUCAACCUCGCCUCUCUAAAACACCGUUGCUACUCUUUCCCCUUCAACCUCUCCAUUUGAUACGUCGUCCUCUUCUCCUUCCCACUAUGUCCCCACCAUAAACACACAAGAAACGGAUGGUGGCAUGCGAGCAAUCAUCUGUCUUCAACACCAGUCGAGGGAUUUUAUUGCCCAUCUCCUUCCGGUGAUGGGACAAAUUGGAGCCGCCCGGGAUUCGGUGUCUCCUCGCCGCUACCUCUACCACUUUGCGGCACCGCAGAUGCUUGCUGCCGGAUCCAAAUCCCCCUGCUGGACAGAUCUGCAGCCAUCACCGCCAUCGCCACGCUGCUCUGUGACUACAUCUUCUUCUUCCCCAGUCUGGUGACGCGCUCGAACAACACCUCACCUAGCACCAUGGGCGGCAUCUCCAGCUCUCCAGCACCUCCCCUAUGGUGGGUGAGGCCAUGAGGCACUGGCUGUGGAUGUGGACUUGCAGGCGCUCCUUCUCGCCGACGACAACGAACUAUUCCACCUCAACCAAGCGAGGACGGAGCGUCCAGCACCGUGCUAUCCAUCAUCUGCAUCCGACUGUGAGGCGGAGUAUGAGACCCCGUUUGCAAGAAAAAACCAUGGUGCGCGUUCUUACUUCCUCUCCUUGCUUCCUCCUACUCGGGAUUGUUCAACCUGCAAUUAGUUCGUUGACUAUAGGCUAGGUUACCGUCUGCAUUAACCCUGUUCUGUUUUGCAGUUGAGAAUCAUAUGGUGAUGCUUUGGAAUAUUUAACCCUUAGAGCCUUUAUACACUUAUAAGGCUGAAGAAUAUACCACUCCAAGUGUUAGCUUUGCAAGGGGUUCCUGUUCUGCCAAAUAAAGGAUACGAAUGCCAUCUACCAUACAUUGAAAAGUUUCUACAAGGAGAUAGUGUGCAGUUAUUUUGUUCCGAUGAAUCUUUCUUAUGCGAGAGUAUGUAUGUGUGAAUUUUGUUUACAAUUUAUGGAUGAUGAUUGGAAAGUACAUGGGUACUGCUUUGAAAUUAGGAAGGACUAAGGAGGAGUAGCCUAAUUAACCAGAGUCAGUACAAAUUUAGGUUAUGUAGUGUGCCAAUGUUGAUAGCUCCUAGGUACGACUAGCUGGUUGUAAGGAUGGUCCUGGUAUGCAAUGAUCUAAUGAUCUUGAGUGAAGUGGACCUCUUAAUCCUAUUUACUUGGACUAUCUGAAUUUGCAUCUUCCUUAUUUGUUAUUACACGUUGCGAUGUGUCCUCUCUGUUGCACUGGUGAGUGAGCAAGUCGUUGUUCCUACACAAGAUUCAGUCACCUUCUGCGUCGUAGGAUUGUCACACACUAAUACUUCGUAGGGCUGUCACAUACUAAUAUUUUUAAUGGCUGGACAUAUAGAUUUGUUUGGAUAAUUUGUGUUGUUGUUGCUUAUUUAAAAUUUGAUUGUUCUUUGACUAUUUGUUUUGAUUUGAGUAGUUACACCAACACCUUGAGGUACUAUUAGUCUGCUAUUAACUCACCCACUCUCAUUUUGUUUGUGCAAACAUUUUUUUAGUCAUGUCGACAAGGUAGUUGAUGAAAAUUCAAACAAGCUGCAAGUGAGGUGACCGGUGUAAUCUUUAUAAUGUAGUCAAAGAAUAACCCCAUCUCCCUCAUGUUGUUCUAAUUCUACAUAUGUUAUUUUGAAGUUAUUAAUUUGUUUUUUACUCUUUGAUUUAACGACUUCUCUUGACCAUGUAUGAAAGCUAAAAAUAUAUUGGUAGCAUGAUUUCUUUAAUCAUACAUUUAUUGUACACAAAAUGUAACAGAUGUCCUCCUAUCUAAUUGUCAAGUUGCUUUAUACACAGGAAGGUAGUACAAUAUAUGUCCAGCCUUCAAAUCAGAUAUAUAUGAAUUUUAUGCCAAGUGAGGCUCUUUCAGUCUCCAUGCUAGAGUCUGAAGAUUGUGGUCUUCUCUGAGAGCUUCUUGACAUAGGUUUGCCAAAACAACAUGUUAUCACCAUUAUUAUCAAUCCAUAACGAACUAUUAUAGUAGUUUCAGGUUUUUCUUCCAAUGUUGGUAAGUGGUCAUACAACAUUGCUAGCUGAGGUAACUAACUGCAGAUUGUCACUCAAGAUUGUACGCAAUAGGGUAGGCAACAUUCAAGGAGCAAACUAACAAAACGUUAGUUUGUAUAAUUUCCUGGUUGUUUUUCUUGUCUUGAAGUUCUUGUAGUAUAAAUAUUUUGUCCUAUUUACAUAUAGUAGAUAUUGGUGCUUGCCAUUGAACUGCGCGACAAUGGCACAUUAUCAAUGCCAGUAUUUUCACAUGAAGGGGCUGUGUAUGACUGCUAUUUUAUUAUUCUCACUGCCAUUCACAACCAUGACCUAUCAAUUUUAAUACUAUAUACUCAUUUGUUUAUGUCAUAUACUUUUAUAUUGUUGAAAUUCAUCUAUAAAUUACUGCAGCAACGCGUGGGGUAUCAUCUAGUUUACGAAGUAUUCAUGCCAUGUUUACAAUAAUUUUAUAUAGUUUUGGUAUGAUUUGAAUGGAACUAACCCGGACUGAUGUUGUUUACAGUAGAACUACCAUGGUGUUGUUUUUUGUGCAGAAAUAAAAGUUCUCGGAAUAGGCUGAAAAUUUACGGUGAUUUUUUAUGGACAAAAAGAGACCCAUGAAGUUUUGAGGAAGGGCCAGAAGAGCCAUGAGGGCAUGACAAGCCUGGGGGCGCACCCUCCCACUAGGUUGCGCCCCUUGAGCUUGUCACUUCCUUGUGGACCCCCUGACAUUAUUCCAACGCCAAAUAUUCCUAUAUGUUGAGGAAACCCCCAAAAGAAACCUAGAUGAGUUGUUCCGCCGCCACAAGCCUCUAUACCAAAGCAAUCUCCAUCAGAGGCCUGUUUUGGCACCCUGCCGAAGAGGAAAAUCAUCACCGGAAGCCAUCUUCAUCACCCUGGCGGUCUACAUGACGAGGAGGGAGUAGUUCACCCUCGUGGCUAAGGGUAUGUACCAGUAGCUAUGUGUUUGAUCUCUCUCUCAUGUUCUUGAUCCGGCACGAUCUUAAUGUAACCAUGGGCUUUGUUAAUAUAGUCGGAUCAUAUGGUAUUUUUCCC